GUGAAAUGAAACCCCAUCCUCCAAAUUAAUCUCUUCUCAGAAUUUUCCUUCUCCAUAUUCUCUAUUCUUCUUCUUCAUCUAAGUUGUAGAGACCACUCUUCUACCCUUGAAUUCCUAAAAGAACAAUGAGGUCUCACUUACGGUAGUGUUCGUCGUUCGCUGGAGAAUCGUUUCAGGGAAGACGACAAGGAAAUCUUAAAGAGUUAGGGAACUGACAAGGUUAUAGAGACCACUCUUCUACCCUUGAAUUCCUAGGAGAAUAAUGAGGUCUCACUUACAGUAGUGUUCACCGUUCGCUAGAGAAUCAUUUUAGGGAAGACGAUAAGGAAAUCUUAAAGAGUUAGGGAACUGACGAAGGCAUUCUCACUCUUCCGCUCAAGAUUCCAAUCCUUCAGUCGUCCAUCCUUUGUUGUUCUUUACUCGGGUUGGGUCUCAAGUGUCCUAAAAUAUGAGGAAAUUUCGGAGGUGAGUAGGAAGAAUUGACAUAAAUCAUUGUUCGACCGUGUAGACGAGUAAAAGUUCUUCCUGCAAAUUCAAUUUGAGUUGCACGAAAAACAAGGUCGAGAAGUGGGACUUGUUGACCUAUUUAGAGAAACACACUCUAAAAAUGACAAGUUUGUGAAUCAGGAAGCUGAGGAUGCACAUGUAAUCAAUUUGUUUUUUUAAAAAAAUUUUUUUUUUCAAUUUGUAAGUUCAAUCACUCGUAUUUACGCAAGUUAAAUAAUAUGUGCAAAAAAAAUUUUAAAUUUACAAUCCAACCUCACUCCAGAGGAUUCCCAACCAGUAACAGGGGAUGAAAUUUGUGAGAUAGUCUUGGGUAGACAACUUGAUCAUAUAAAAGGUAUAGGUUGGGACCCUAAACAUAAGUCAAUGAGGGGUAGCAGUUCAUCGAGCUCGUCAUCUACUCAAGAAGUGCAUGAUAGGGAGGUAAGUGAACUAAAACCCAAUGUUGAACAAUCUCAAUCGAAGAUUAAGGAACUUGAAGACGUCCAAAAACAAAUGAGAGAGGAUCAUGCAAGACAGUUGGAAGAAAUGAAAAAAAUGAUUGAAGAUAUGAUACGAUCAUAGAGAAAAGGGUCAUCGAAUUAGGUAUGAUUACUUCAUUAUCUAAUUGGUUAAUAUGUUGCUAUCUUAUAGUAGCAAAGUAGUUAUAUCUUACUAGUGUUUAGUUUUAUGUCCUAGAACUCAUAAAUAGUAAAUGUAAUUAAUUAACCGAUAUCAAUAAAGAGUUAUCAAAAUUAUUUAAUCAAUAAAGAGUUAUCGAUGUUAUUUCAAUAAAUGUUAUUGAUUCUGUUGUAUUCUAUUUUGUUUUAAUAACCCUAAAUCCAAUAAACAAAUUCUUAGGUUGUUUUAUGAGUCUUGAACAGUAAGUGGAGAUAUACAGGGAUAAAUGUUCAAGAUACAACCUAAAGGGUCUAUAGUAUAGGGAUAAGACUGGGUACCUUAUCCUAAUAACACUAUGGAUAUGGCCUACUUUGCAUUUGAUAUAAAUGCAAUUAUCCAACGUGUUCAUGUACGUGAUAUGCGAGUGGGGGUAUCCUAUACAAUGAGUUUACAUAAGACCGGACCGUGAAAUAGUAACCACUAGAGGUAACAUUGUUGACUAGUUAGGUUUCUAUUUCAAUAGGAUGGUCUAGGCAACUUAACCUUAACCCUGAGUAUAUUAUGAACUCCUAUUUAUGAGGGAUUUUCCUUUGAUUUGGAUGGGUGAGAGUAGCCAGUUUCUUGAUUCAAUAAUCCCACAAUUUUGGAGACAAGACCGAGUGGGGAGAUAGGAACGUAAUAAUACAAGAUAGAAUUCAUUUCUUUCCGACUUUAGGGUAAGUAGAUGAGUGUUCCCUUAAGUGGUGUCUCUAGAACUUGAACAAGGACUCUACCCUCUCGUUGACCUGAGAGGGGUUUCUGUUUGAUGGUUGGACCAUAAACAGGUUAUUCAUUAGAGGAGCACUAGUACUUAAGGAUGUAGAGGUAACCUAAGGGUAAAACAAUAAUUUGUU